AUCAUGACAGUUUUAUUUGUAAUAUCCCCAAAUGCAAGCAAUCCAAAUGCUGAACAGGUAAACAGACAAGCAGAGUGUAGAAUAUAGAAUAUACAAUGGAAUAAACAAUUAUGAACUAGGUAUACCUGCAACGAUAUAAAUGAAUCUCAGAAUAACUAUUGAGUAGGGGAAGCCAGACUGAAGGAAAGAACGGAUGUUCCUUUUUAUGGCCGCUUAGCAUUCCAUGGUGUAUAGGUACCACAUUUUCUUCAUCCAAUCCACUGCUGAUGGGCAUCUAGGUUGAUUCCAUGUCUUUGCUAUUGUAAACAACGCUUUGAUGAACAUAUGGGUGCACGUGCCUUUUUGAUAAAAUGACUUACUUGCCUUUGGGUAUAUACCUAGUAAUGGAUUGCUGGGUCGAAUAGCAGUUCUAAGUGCUUUCAGAAAUCUCCAAACUGCCUUCCACAGUGGCUGAACUAGUUUUUAUUCCCAGCAAGUGUAUAAGGGUUCCCUCUUCCCCGCAGCCUCACAAGCAUUGGUUGUUUAUUGACUUUUUCAUAAUCGCCAUUCUGACCGGUGUGAGACGUUAUCUCAUUGUGGUCAUGUCCUUCGCAGCAACAUGGAUGGCAGCCAUUGUCCUAAGGAAUUAACCCAAGAAUGGGAAACCAAAUAACGCAUGUUCUCACUUAUAAGUGGGACCUAAACAUUGAAUACACAUAGACAUAAAGAUGGGAGCAGCAGACACUGGGGACGACUAGGGAGGGAGGGAGGCAGGGAGGGAGUGGAACAGAACGUGGGCUGAAAAACUACUACUCACUACCUGGGUGACUGGAUCAUCUGUACCCCAACCUUCAGCACCCUGCAAUAUACUCAUGAAACAAACCUGCACAUGUACCCUUUAAUCUAAAAUAAAAGUUGAAAUUGUUUUUUUAAAAAAGAGCACAUAGUAUAUUAUUCCAUUUACAUAAAAUUUUAGAAAACACAAAUGAAUGUGUUGACAAAUCAGUGGUUGCCUGGAGAAGGGGGAGUGCAGAGAGGUACAUGGGGAAUAAAUUAUAAAGGGACUGGAGGAGAUGUUUGGAGGUGGUGAAUGUGUUCACUAUGUUGAUUGCGGUGAUGAUUUCAUGGACGUACACAUCUGUAGAAACGUUGGUGUGUACAUAUGUUGUAUUCUCAAAUUGUCCACUCUGAGUACGAGCAGUGGGGAUUAAGAGGAAAAUAAUAGUAGAGAACAAAAUCAGAGCUUGGCAUGGCUCUCUGCUGGCACCGUGCAGGGUGUGAUUACAUCAGAUCUGUGCAACUCAGAUCUUGGGGAGGGGUUGGGGGGUGGAAGGUGGAGGGAGGAAGGGAGAGAAAACAGAGGGCGGGAAGAAGGGAAGGAAGUGAAGAAGGGAAUGAGGGACGGAAAGAGAGAGACAGCGAAGAGAGGAGAAAGAGUUUCAGAAUUUGGCAAAAGUCUCAAGGCUCAAGCUGGUUGUCUGAAGCCUUUCAAACCCCCAGUUUUAUCACCACAUAUGAGCUCUUAGCAUAUGAAACUGCAGCUAGGACUAAAACCAGAGGAAGGCACACAGAAUCUUGACUGCUCUUCAGAAAUACAUGGCACUCCGUUAAAAUGAAGAUUUUUGCUGCUCACUCCAGAAAUAUUGAAUCAAAACGUGGAGCAGGAGACAGGCAAGGCCAGUGAAGGAGUGUGGCUCCGAUAGGAUUGACAACUACUACCUUAGAUGAUGAAUCAAGCUCAGAAGGGAUCCCUCUGGAUUUCCCUGCGCCAUGUAAGAAGUGCCUGCUUUCCCUUUGCCUUCUGCUAUGAUUGUUUCCUGAGGCCUCCCCAGUCAUGUUACCUGUACAGCCUGCAGAACUGUGAAGAAACCGAGGCAAUGAACAAAGUAAUAUACCCAAGAUCACAUUGCCAGUGAAUGGGAGAGCUGACGUUUCAAUCUACACAGAACCUGUGCUCUUAGCUAUCUAACCGCUUUACUUGGAAGUGAUGUGAGAUUAAAAAAAGAAGAAAAACAAAAUAUUUUCUUAUGCUUUCAAAAAGUUCAAAAUUAAUAAGGGAACCGUUUCUCCAUGGGGACAGGAGCUUCUGGAAGGCUGGACCCAAUCAUUACAGGCUCAGUCCAGGGCCUUUCCUUCACACCAACUACUGCAGGUACAAACUGUCUAACUGAUCCAGUUCUUAUUUAACUUGUCUCAGUUACUUCGACUUUAUCACUCACUCAGAGAUAAGACAACUGUCAGUCCUCUGAGCCUAAGCUAAGCCAUCAUAUCCCCUGUGACCUGCACAUACACAUCCAGAUGGCCUGUUCCUGCCUUAACUGAUGACAUUAUCUUGUGAAAUUCCUUCUCCUGGCUCAUUCUGGCUCAAAAGCUCCCCUACUGAGCACCUUGUGACCCCCACUCCUGCCCACCAGAGAACAAACCCCCUUUUUCCUUUACCUACCCAAAUCCUAUAAAACGGCCCCACCCCUAUCUCCCUUCACUGACUCUCUAUUCGGACUCA
rnacentral:lncRNA from 1 species